ACACCUGAAAAGGGGUGGGCCAGCCUCUGCAUGCUGACCAUCCAGAUUCCAUGACUCCCUGUCAGCCUGAAGGAGGUGACAACCAUCUGUCUUUCCCCACCCUACCCAGAAGACCAGCUCGGCAGGGCUGGGAAGGACUUCAGACUAUAUCUUUCGCGGUCCUCUUAUCCAGGUUGGAUGUAAGGAGAAGAGCACAUCACGAUUCAGAUUAGCGGCUCAUCAAGUUGUCAAAAGCCACAUGCAGCUGGUAGCUGCCAUAUUGGACGGCACAGCUCUGUAACCUAAAACAUCUGGACAUGCACUUGGAAAAGUCAAGUUUUUAAAAAAUUGGGUUUUGGUGAAUUUGUUUUCCUACUCAUCCCAGAAUAACUGACUGAAAGAGCUGCGGCUGGGUCACCAGUCGCUGGCUGGCUAAGGGCAGAACCCAUCUGUCCCUGGCUUGUUAGACCCUUCGUAAGCCACCCACCCUCCUCAGGGAGACUGAGCCUGGAACAGACAGUGAACCCUGUUGUUCUUUUCUGGGGAGACAAAGCUGCAGGCCCUGCUACCUGCCUGACAGGGCCAUUGUGGCUAGAGGAGAAAAGGGCUUUGUCAGGACAGCAGCCGAGAAGCCUGCAGUUCAAUGGGGCCCUUUAUGUCUACACUGGCGAGAUGCUCUGAUGCCAGCCCUUUUGAGGCCCAGCCCCCUUUUAGAACAGAUGGGGAGCCUGAGGCCCAGUGAGGUUGUGAAAGUCCCUGCAGUGGAUCCUAGCCUCCUUCAUCUCGUGCCACUGCCCUAAAACAUGAGAUUCUCCUGACUCUGAAAAGGCCCAUCUUGAAGCAUAGGAUAAACUCCAUAUUGCCCUUAACCCCUGAAAAGGAGGCCCCUGCCCUGACCCUAAAAUUUAGAGGUUCCACAAAUGACAAACACAUACAAAAAUAAAUGUAUUAAAGAACAUA